rnacentral:rRNA from 1 species
AUUGAACGCUGGCGGCAUGCCUAACACAUGCAAGUCGAGCGGAGCGGCGGACGGGUGGGUAAGGCCUAGGAAUCUGCCUGGUCGCGGGGGGUGGCGUCAGGAAACGGGCGCUAAUACCGCAUCCUAACAGCUUAGCCUAGGUCGGUUUAGCACGUGGGGGGGGUAAAGGCCGACCAAGGCGACGAUCCGUAACUGGUCUGAGAGGAUGAUCAGUCACACUGGAACUGAGACACGGUCCAGACUCCUACGGGAGGCACAAGUGGGGAAUAUUGGACAAGGGGCGAAAGCCGGAUCCAGCCAUGCCGCGUGGGUGAAGAAGGUCUUCGGUUGGUAAAGUACUUUAAGUUGGGAGGCGUUACCAACAGAAUAAGCACCGGCUAACUUCGUGCCAGCAGCCGCGGUAAUAC